rnacentral:rRNA from 1 species
ACGGAGGGUGCAAGCGUUAAUCGGAAUUACUGGGCGUAAAGCGCACGCAGGCGGUUUGUUAAGUCAGAUGUGAAAUCCCCGGGCUUAACCUGGGAACUGUAUUUGAUACCGGCAAGCUUGAGUCUCGCAGAGGGGGGUAGAAUUCCAGGUGUAGCGGUGAAAUGCGUAGAGAUCUGGAGGAAUACCGAUGGCGAAGGCGGCCCCCUGGACUAAUACUGACGCUCAGGUGCGAAAGCGUGGGGAGCAAACAG